rnacentral:lncRNA from 1 species
GCCUCGGUUGCUUCUCCGUCAAAUAGAGAGGGCGCCCCAUGGCCCUUGAGGGCCCUCCCCGUCUAUGGUUCUGGGACCGCACAUGCGAGCAUCCCUUGGGUGCUGAGGGGGCUGGAGGAAAGGGGGCGGGACUGCUGCCAAGCAGCCAAUCAGGGGAGUCCGUGAGAGCCGCGCUGCCUGCCCCUAGCGGUCAAGGCCAGGAGCAGACACGCGAGGCUCGGGAGGCGUGACCUUGGAGGAGGCGUGCUCAUUCUCCGGAAGACCCCGGGAGGGGCGGCAUGGAGGGGAGCAGCUCUCAGGGAGACCUAAAGCCCAAAAAUGUUUUAAAGAAACCCCGGAAAGGCUCUUGGAGAGCAAGCUGGGGCCAGCAUGAAAUCAAACUGCUGCUAGAGGCCAUCUUCAAGACGGGCAAAGUCCACCAGAUCAUUUCGGGAAACAGUCAGAGAAAGAGCAAGCUCUGGAGAGAGGUCACUGAGACUCUGGCCAAGCGCCAUGUGGGCUACACGGCCGAGCAGUGCCGCACCAAGUGGAAGCACCUCAAGACCCAGUUCCGCUUUGAACAGGCUCGUUACCUGACGACAGGAGCCCACUCAGACCCUCUGCCGCACUUCUAUGAGGAAAUGAGCAACCUCUGGAAGAUGGCGGCCAGGUGCUCACCAAAGGCUGGGCCCUCAAAAUGGCCAAAACAACCUACCAAAGCAAAGACAGCCCUGCAACUCCAGAGGCAGAAUAAGGAAGAGGAAGUGUUACCUGGAACAUGGUCACAGCCUCCACAGGCAGUGACUCCCAUCACAGAGCAUCAGUCCAACGACAGUGAAACCAGUGAUGCGCCCAAAGAAGUGGAUGGAUGUGCAGCAAAUCAAGCAGCUUUAGGAAGAGAGACACUAGAGGAACCGGCCUUUCAGCAAGAGAAGCCUGAGGUCCCCUGUGACCCCAGAUACCAGCAGAUUGGGGAGACCAUGCUGGAGGAAUUGAGAAACCUGUCCCGAACCCAGCAGGAGAUGUCUGUGGUCAGCAUGUACAUUGCCAAAGCCCUCCAGUACCAGCAAGAACAGCUGAUCCCGGGCAUCCAUCUUCUAAAUCACAACAUGUACCAGCUCUGCCUGCUAUUGGCCAACCAGACGGAGGCCUCCCUCCACUCCGGGCCCUUUCUCCCCGAGAUGAUCAAUCCCAGCAUUGUCUUCUCUGGAUCUCCAGUUCCACAGCCUUAUCCUUCAGACUUUGAGCCUUCCGGUGGUGCCCACCCCAAGUAGGCUUCAGUUCUCUGAGAUGCAGCUCACAUUACCUUGGUUUCUUGGAAUGCAUUCUGUCUAAGUAAAUUUCAUGUGUUCCCCCUGUUUGGAAGGUUUGAGAUAAAGAUUUGGAUUCUAUCCCUCAGACUCUGCCUCUUUCA